AAAGCAACUUCACCCACAGCUACCAUGACUUUCAUCCCCGUGUUCAUCUGGACACUGAUCCUCUGGACUCAAGAAUGCAGAGGUCAAGCCACAGUAACUCAGACUCCUGCAGUGAAAUCUGCUCUUCCAGGAGAAACAGUCACCAUCAACUGUAGAACUAAUCCCCAGGUGUACCAAGGCUGGAGUAAUCAACCUUUACACUGGUAUCAACAGAAACCUGGAGAAGCUCCUAAACUCCUGAUUAAGAUCGCAAAUCAGCGAGAGUCAGGUAUUCCAGCUCGUUUCAGUGGCAGUGGAUCUGGAUCUGAUUUCACUCUGACCAUCAGUGGAGUCCAGACUGAAGAUGCAGGAGAUUACUACUGUCAGAGUUUCCAUUACAUCAGUAGCACCAACCUGUUCACACAGUGUUAUAGAGUCGUACAAAAACCUCCCUCAGUCAGAUUGUAGAGAGACUGAACUGCUGCAGCUGGGAGUGACUGCAGGUGCUGAGUUGGAGGAUGUGAUACGACACAAUGAUACUCUGUGGAGGAGAGGAACCACAUCACACUAACUCACAACUCACAUUAGAGAUCUCUCAAUAAUCAACACAGUACACUGAACACAGUCCAUCACAACCAACAGUUUAACAUAAAUAGUUCUGUAGUUUUCUAUUCAUUAAAACUCUAUCACUAAUCCUACCCUCAGUACAUUCUCUAAUUCUGACCCAGAAUCAAUCCCAGUUCUUAAUCUGGUCUCAGCCUCAGUCUCUGUCUUGUGCCUGUUUCAGGUUACACUCUGGUCCUGAUCUGGACUCUGACUCAGUCACUGGUGUAACUCCUCUUGACCCUGAACCUGAUGUUCAUUCUCUUUAUUUCCUAGUGCAGACUGAGACCUGGUUUCCUGCAGAGUAUCGCACACCUCUUGUAUUGUCUCAUCUUAAACAAUUUCAUUCUUUCAAUGCUCAGUAGCUUAAUGCUACUGAGAAUGAGAUUAUUAUAGGCCUAUCGAAUAUAAAGUUUAGUACCACACGUUAUCAGUCCAAGUUGUGGGAUCACUGGCACCAUUGUAUUUUUUAACACAGUGAUUUACUUUUUUUUUCUUCUGUGUGUGUUUUUAAAUAUUUGACCUUGAGUUAAUUUAUUGACUGAUCCUCUGGACUCAAGGUCAGACACUGCUUCAUAUUUUAUCUCUACAAUAAACUCUUCAUAAUAAUACACUUAUUGUUUCUAUUAGAAUAUUUCAGUUUCAUGCUGCGUUAUUGUGUAUUUUUCAGAAUGCAGAGGUCAAGCCACAGUAACUCAGACUCCUGCAGUGAAAUCUGCUCUUCCAGGAGAAACAGUCACCAUCAACUGUAGAACCAGUCCGGCAGUGUAUCAUCACAGCUCAUAUGGUCACUACUUACACUGGCAUCUGUCACAUAACGGUGGCGUCAACAAGGCAAGAUCAGACCCAAAGUGCAGGGAUAGCAGCCAGUCAGGAUAAUAUACUUUGAAACACUGGGGAAAAACUCAACACAAAAUAAAAUCCAACAUUGUUUUUGUGGGGUUUUUUAGUCUUUCUUUCUUCUGUUCUAACAGAGUUUUGAAACUUUUACCUCACUAACACAAGUCAGUAUUCAUGAAAUGUUACCGAUAAUUUGCUGUUAAUUAUUUUUUUCUCAUUAAAUUUUCUCUUUGAAUGGAAAACUGCUUUGUAGGGGUGUAUUAAUGCAUCGCAAUGCAAAAAUGCGGUAAUGUGCAUUGUGUGAUUUUAUUUAGUGGAAAUCAGCAUUCUGUUAAUAAUGCAUCUCGUGCAAUUGCACUGUUUGAACACCAGAGAUCACAAUCUGUGCAAAAGCACAAAUUCUGUAGUGUGCACUAAUCACAUGAUCAGAGUCUACACUAUUACAGGAAAUCAUCUGAACUUGUGAAGUGAUCGAUGGCUUCAGAUACAAGUUAUACAGCGUAUGCAUUUA